CAUGUUACGGUUGCGGCCUGGCCUCCGGAGCUCUGCGCAGACACGGGGCUCUGGUGUCACAGGAUUGUUCUGUGUGUAGCUGUGGUGUCACCUGCGGCUCGGCCUCGCCCUCCCGUGGCGGGCCUGGGCUGCGGGCUUCGCGCCGGGGACGCUGUGGACAGGGACCAGCGCCCUCAGUCCGGGGUGCGCGCGGCGUUCCGGAGGCGCCUGCGCGGCACGGCGAGCCCACGGGAGGGGCCGGGGGCCCCGAGAGCGCGGGGUGGGCAGUGUCGCCCGUGCCCGCCGCCCGCCGUCGGGGAGCUCUGGUGUCCGCGUAGACGGGGCGCGCUGGGAGCUGGCAGCCUGGGUCCUUUGGAGCAAGCUCGGGUCAGGAGGGAGAGGAGAGAAGGGAAGAGAAGGUCCGCCCGGAGUAGACCUGCAGCCGGCGGACCCUUGGUCCGUCUCCUGUGGGCGUCUUUCCACCCUCUCCUCCUGGACGCCAGCUCAGCCCCGUCCCCCUUACAGCAGGUGACGGCUCUCUCCUUCCUGGUCAAAGGAAAGACCUCGGGGUAACUCCCUCAACUCCUUGCUGCUCCUGCCUUCUCUGAAUUCGUCUCUACAUACUCAAGGAAGGGCUACCCUUUGUCGUCCCUUCCUGUCUCCAACCCAGUAGGCACUGUGCUAGGUGAUGGAGAGCAGUGGUGAAGAAAAAGACAUGCUGGGGAGACAGACAAAAACAGAAAAAUGUUGUAAUUACAAGCUGUGACAAGUAUCAUAAAGGAAGCAAAGUGCUGAGAUAAACAUGGUGGCAGGAAAAGGGGAGGAGACUUUCUUUAGAGAAAGUAGUCAGAGCUAGAUGGCGCCAAAGCAAACCUGUGGCAGUGCCCCAGCUUUAACCACGCAGAAGAGGAAAGUAUCCUAAGGUAUGGCAGAGGACCGAGAGGAAAGGAACCAGGGUCCACAGGUGACUCGAGCUGAGCCACCCUGCCGCCUGGGCCACUUCUACCUCUGGACUGUUAAGUGAGAAAGAAGCUUCUACUUCAUUCAAAUCACUGUAUUUUUGGGUCUCUCUUAUUGCAGCGUACUCUGUGCAGAUAUAGGGAAGCUCACAGAGGAAAACCCAGCUAACCAAAACUCAGAAAGGGCAGGAACCAAAAGCUCCAGGCAUCUCCAGGGCGCCCCAAUGGGAUGAGGCAGCCUCAGCCUCCUGUAAGGAGUCUGAUUUUCUAGUUUGAGCCCUGCAUCCUCCUACAAUAUUUAUAUUCGUAUCCAUUUUUAUUAUAAUUAUGUUGUAAAUAAAACUAUGUUCUGAUUUUCUCAUUUGUCACUAUACUUUCAGUGGCAGUAUAAGUCUCUCAGUUUGAUGCAUAAUUUAUGAUGACUUAAACUGAACCACUGUCUGUUACACUAACCACCACUUCAUCAUUCUGUACAUUUCACCUGUAUUGAUAUGCAUACUAUCCAGUGCUAAGUCAAUUAUGCACAAACUUGAAUCGGUGUCUGCCUUUUUUUCGGUUCUGUGACUAUUUUUUCCCAGCUUUAUUGAGGUAUAAUUGACAAAUAAAAUUGAAAGACGUUUAAAGUGUACAACGUGAUGAUUUGAUAUACGUAUACAUUGUGAAAGGAUUCCCUCUAUCAGGUUAAUUAACACAUCCAUCACCUCACAUAGUUACUUUUUCUUUCUUUUUUUUUUUUUGGUGAGAACAUUUAAGUUCUACUCUCUUAGCAAAUUUCAGUUAUCCAAUACAGUUAUCAGUUAUAGUCACCAUGUUAUACAUUAGAUCCUCAGACCUUAUUCAUCUUUUUUUUAAAAUUUUUUGUUUAUUGCAGUAACAGUGGUUUAUAUCGUAAAAAUUUCAGGUGUACAUCAUUAUACUUCUAUUUCUGCAUAGAUUACAUCAUUAUUCAUCUUAUAAUUGAAAGUUUGCACCCUUUUACCACCUCUCCCUGUAUCCCCCACCCCCACCCCAGCUCCUGGCAACCACUUUUCUACCUCUGUUUCUAUGAGUUCAAUUUUUUUUUUUUUUAGAUUCCACAUAUAAAUGAUACCAUGCAGUAUUUGUCUUUGUCAGGCUUAUUUCACUUAGCAUAAUGCCCUCUAGGUUCAUCCAUGUCUCAACUGACAGCAUUUCCUUCUUUUUAAAGGCUGCAGAAUAUUCCUCUGUGUGUGUGUGUGUGUGUACAUUUUCUGGAUCCAUUCAUUGGUGGACGGAGACUUAGGUUGCUUCCAUACCUUGGCUAUUGUGAAUAAAGUUGCAAUGAACAUGGGAAUGCACAUAUCUCUUCCCGAUGAUGGUUUUGUUUCCUUUGGACUGGGAUGGCUGGACCAUAGGGUAGUUCUAUUUUGAAUUUCUUGCGGAACCUCGAUGCUGUUUCCAUAGUGGCUGCACCCAUUUACAUUCCCACCAACAGUGCACAAGGAUUUCCAUAUCUUCACCAGCAUUUGUUAUCAUGGUUGUUUACUUUUUAAGAGUGCAAAAAACAAGGUCAUGUCUGGCUGCAUGGGGUUUUGCUCGUUCAAAACAUAACCCGAAUGGCUGUUAAUUUUGAGGCACUAAACGUUAGAAGGGAUACUGCACUCAUCCCAAAUGGAAUGUCUCAGUCUGUCUACAAAACUGCACUCGUUGGGCUCAAGACAUUUAUAAAUUAGUCCUUCCCGGACGUUAAACGAGGAAGAGCAUGGGGUCAGACGGAAAGGCUUUCUGCACUAGUCGGGGGAGAAAGCUUGUGGGCACGCUGGCUCCCGGCUUGCGGCCUCAGCAGCCGUCAGGCAGGAGCACCGGACAGGCUGAGGCUGGAUCCAGGCCGCACAGGCCCCAACUGCUAAGCCCCGAGAGAACAGCGGAGGAGGAGGCCCGACGCGGCCGAAGAAAGAAGGCGCAGAGAUCACAGACUAAGAGAGAAAGGGGUGCGCCCGGAGGAAAGCUACUGCUGGACCGCCAGCCGAGACCGGCUGCAGAACAGUACAGGGACC